rnacentral:rRNA from 1 species
UAAUACGUAGGGUCCGAGCGUUGUCCGGAUUUAUUGGGCGUAAAGAGCUCGUAGGCGGCUCAGUUAGUCGGAUGUGAAAACUCGGGGCUCAACCCCGAGACGCCAUCCGAUACUGCUGUGGCUCGAAUCUGGUAGGGGAGCACGGAAUUCCUGGUGUAGCGGUGAAAUGCGCAGAUAUCAGGAGGAACACCGGCGGCGAAGGCGGUGCUCUGGGCCAGUAUUGACGCUGAGGAGCGAAAGCGUGGGUAGCAAACAGGAUUAGAUACCCUGGUAGUCCACGCCGUAAACGUUGGGCACUAGGUGUGGGUCCCUAUCGACGGGAUCCGUGCCGUAGCUAACGCAUUAAGUGCCCCGCCUGGGGAGUACGGCCGCAAGGCUA